AACGAACGCUGGCGGCAUGCCUAACACAUGCAAGUCGAACGAAGCCUUCGGGCUUAGUGGCGCACGGGUGCGUAACACGUGGGAAUCUACCCUUCGGUUCGGAAUAACAGUUAGAAAUGACUGCUAAUACCGGAUGAUGACGUAAGUCCAAAGAUUUAUCGCCGAAGGAUGAGCCCGCGUAGGAUUAGGUAGUUGGUAGGGUAAUGGCCUACCAAGCCGACGAUCCUUAGCUGGUCUGAGAGGAUGAUCAGCCACACUGGGACUGAGACACGGCCCAGACUCCUUACGGGGGGCAGCAGUGGGGAACAUUGGACAAUGGGCGAAAGCCUGAUCCAGCAAUGCCGCGUGAGUGAUGAAGGCCUUAGGGUUGUAAAGCUCUUUUACCAGGGAUGAUAAUGACAGUACCUGGAGAAUAAGCUCCGGCUAACUCCGUG
rnacentral:rRNA from 1 species